AAUUUUGGACAAUGGGGGAAACCCUGAUCCAGCCAUCCCGCGUGUAUGAUGAAGGCCUUCGGGUUGUAAAGUACUUUUGGCAGAGAAGAAAAGGUAUCCCCUAAUACGGGAUACUGCUGACGGUAUCUGCAGAAUAAGCACCGGCUAACUCCGUGCCAGCAGCCGCGGUAAUACGUAGGGUGCAAGCGUUAAUCGGAAUUACUGGGCGUAAAGCUUGGGGAGGGGAGGCGGAAAGAAAGAUGUGAAGUGCCAGGGAUCAACCUUGGAACGGCAUUUUUAACUGCCGAGCUAGAGUAUGUCAAAGGAGGGUAAAGUUCCACGUGUAGCAGUGAAAUGAGUAGAGAUGUGGAGGAAAACCGGUGGCGAAGGCAGGCCCCUGGGAUAAUACUGACGCUCAGACACGAAGGCGUGGGGAGCAAACAGG
rnacentral:rRNA from 1 species